rnacentral:rRNA from 1 species
AACAAACGCUGGCGGCAGGCUUAACACAUGCAAGUCGAGCGCCCCGCAAGGGGAGCGGCAGACGGGUGAGUAACGCGUGGGAAUCUACCCAUCUCUACGGAAUAACGCAUGGAAACGUGUGCUAAUACCGUAUACGUCCUUCGGGAGAAGGAUUUAUCGGAGAUGGAUGAGCCCGCGUUGGAUUAGCUAGUUGGUGGGGUAAAGGCCUACCAAGGCGACGAUCCAUAGCUGGUCUGAGAGGAUGAUCAGCCACACUGGGACUGAGACACGGCCCAGACUCCUACGGGAGGCAGCAGUGGGGAAUAUUGGACAAUGGGCGCAAGCCUGAUCCAGCCAUGCCGCGUGAGUGAUGAAGGCCCUAGGGUUGUAAAGCUCUUUCACCGGUGAAGAUAAUGACGGUAACCGGAGAAGAAGCCCCGGCUAACUUCGUGCCAGCCGCCGCGGUAACAC